CUUUAGGGUUAACGCCCAGAAGAGCCGCAGUGAAUAGGCCCAAGCGACUGUUUAUCAAAAACACAGGUCUCUGCUAAACCGUAAGGUGAUGUAUAGGGGCUGACGCCUGCCCGGUGCUGGAAGGUUAAGAGGAGUGGUUAGCUUCUGCGAAGCUACGAAUCGAAGCCCCAGUAAACGGCGGCCGUAACUAUAACGGUCCUAAGGUAGCGAAAUUCCUUGUCGGGUAAGUUCCGACCCGCACGAAAGGCGUAACGAUUUGGGCACUGUCUCAACGAGAGACUCGGUGAAAUCAUAGUACCUGUGAAGAUGCAGGUUACCCGCGACAGGACGGAAAGACCCCGUGGAGCUUUACUGUAGCCUGAUAUUGAAAUUCGGCACAGCUUGUACAGGAUAGGUAGGAGCCUUUGAAACGUGAGCGCUAGCUUACGUGGAGGCGCUGGUGGGAUACUACCCUAGCUGUGUUGGCUUUCUAACCCGCACCACUUAUCGUGGUGGGAGACAGUGUCA
rnacentral:rRNA from 1 species